UAUGGACAGAGCUGAGAUGGCGCAAUAGCUGAACCUUGUGUCUAUCUCCCCCCAUUUAUCUCCUUGAAAGCUUCCGUCCUCGUGCUGCAUAGAGGCAAUCCAUGUUCCAGUAAGGUUGGCGUUUAUUUCAUCGAUACGGUUGAACAUAGCUAAGACUUGUAUGGCGCUCAAUGUAUACAGAAGGUGUUCGUCGUGGUGUAUGUUUCCGCCAAAUCCUCCGCUUGGUUUUUGACAGGACUUGAUGAAUUGUACUGUUUUUUCCUGAUUUACUUCGUUGAGGGCGCCCAUGACAUCUAAGGCCGUCAGGCCCCAAUAAAUCCCGCUCAUGCGAAGAUGCUCCGUCAUCCAGUAUUCAACACUUUCUUCGUUCUGAGUGUUCGAUGAGCAGAGCGUGAGGCAGAGCUGGAAGUGUUAGAGACGGGUGUGUGAGAGUAAGGUACCGCCGUUCUUCCCCGACGUCAUACCGGGUCAUCGAAGCUUUUUAUGAAUUGGAUGUGUCUGCUGCGGUAAAGAGUAGUUUCAGGUGAGGUGGUGGUUUGACUCAUUGGGGAGGAGUCUUUAGAGCCGAGGGACUUUUUUCGAGCAGCUAGAGAAGAAAAUGGAGCGGCCUGCUGCGUUUUGCUGGUUUUAAACAGGAUGCAUAUGAGAAGUGGUGCAAAGAGUGGGCACACAGGGUGGUAUUUUAGCCAAGAGAGAGGGUGAUGCUAGUCCUAUCUGUCCUGUGUCCGAGAGGAGGGAAGCGCGGCUGCCCGACUCGUCAAAAAAAGUUUUAACUGCACAAAAAGGGCUCUUAGUUUUUGAAAAAGGGGUUGUGUCUAGGCAGGGAAAAUCCCGACCUGUCAAAAAAAUUUUUUUUCAAUUGCACAGAUAGAGAGGAUUAGAGGAUUUGCAGUUUUUGCAAAGAAGUCGUCGUGCAGAUGUAUGGCAGAUUUAUCCGCGAGCCAAUGUCCCGGUUUGAGUAUCAGCAAGCGAGGAGAUCGGAUGGACUGUAAAACAGGCUUGUGACGGUGUGACUAUACCGAAUUGCCAGCCCGAGUAUGCACGUAGAAAUGUGAAAUAGAGUGAGGCGCCUACAGAGUUUUUUUUCGGUAGUGGGUCCGAAGAUGAAGAGGGCAGCGUUGAUCAGAGUCAGGUUUGGGCUGUAGCGGAGCAUCUUGGUUUCUUUGACGUAUCUAAAGAGAGAAAGUUAGAAAGAUGCCUGCGAAUUUAUUGAUACGAGAAUGUCAAUUUACGAUGUACAUGGGUACUCGAUGUCGUGGACAGGGGAUGAAGCCCAGGAGCUGCGGUAGAGACAUGACGAAGUUCAGAAGUUGGGGAAGACAGAAGAGCAUGAGAGUUUUAGAAAAAUGGCCCUGUAUGGCCGCGACGGCGAUAGUCAUGCCGGAGAAGUAGGUGAAAGAGUCUCCAACAAACACCUCGGAGGGGUAAGCGUUGUAGUAUCCUAAUACAAGGACGGUAGCUAGGAAUGGCAUCAUCAAUUGAAUGCUUUGCAUGUGUCUGAAGGCGCACGGACCAGAUAGCUCUAUGCAGUUAUGCACCAAAAUGGCGCACGUGAUGACAAGGAUUUGAGACGUUUCGAGACCUUUUCAUAAGAGACUUAGUGUAUAUCUGCGCGCGAAACUGCGAAGGUCUCCCUCCUAUCGUACCAUUAAUGCCCGCAUAUAUGUUAACGCCAUUCGUACAGAACACGAUGAUGAGCGCCAUAUAGAGGUAGUAGAAAUAACCUUUUGAGGGUUCGGUGAGUCAAGAUGUGCACACGGGUGUAGAAAGCCCCGUUUUUAGAGGACUUACCUAAUUGCAAUGUGGUCUGUUCGUAUCUGAGGAACAUGGGGAUCAUCACGUUGGUCGGACCAGAAUACGCUACCAACAGUGGCAACGUGGCUAUCCACGACAGCAACAGCUUUACUCCCCACCUCACAUUUAAGACAUCGUCCAAGAACCCCAACAGCGUCAUCAUGCAAACGGACAACAGAGAGGCGUUGUAUUCGACCAACUAGUUUGCCAUUGUUUUAGUUCGAGAAGGUGCGCGAGAGAAAGUCGACAAAAAAAAUACAAACAAGCACGUAAGAGCAGAAAUUAUUGAGAGAAAUAAGUCUUUUCAGCGUACAUACAUUUUUUUAUGGGUCUCUCCUUUGUUGAUGUCGUAUCCCCACAGACCCCUUUCGACCAUCAGAUUCUUCAAUUUCGGAAUUAUCUUGUACGUGAAAUAGAAGCACUGGAUCGACAUGCCCAUGCACACCAAGUAUUGUUGAGCCAUCGUCGGCUGGCACAGAAGGACUUGCACAAGCACGACGAGGACGGCGACCGCAAAGAUGCAGCAUGUGACAACAACACCUGAGAUAUACAUACAAAACCCCUAAUCGUAUAGUCCACAGCUGCUUUGACCUACUGAUUCCUCUUUUCCAAAAAAAAACUUUUGCGCGUCUUUCUUAAUGUGUGUACCUUCGAAGUAGGCCAAAAAAAAUUUUUUUGAGGUGUCUCUGCAUUUUCUCGAGUCACCUUUGCCGCUCUGGGUUUCAGAUAAAAAACGAUUCGUGAUUGCAUUCAUGAACCGAGUCGUGUCUAUUUCUCUAAGAGGCCCACGUUUUGCCUUUUCGCACUCGAAAAUCGAUCUUCUUCACAAACGUGCUCUUAAGUUGCCCACAAAAGAACCUCGCUUCUUUCCCUAUCGCAUCCGUCUUCUCGCUACGUUCGACGCCAGCAAGCCCCCCUCGCCUCCAGACCACUCGAGCGCACAAGAAAUUCCCCUGAUUGAAUAUCAUUGGGACGAACUCAAUGAAAUAAUCACCAAAAGACUCAAAAAUCAAAUUGGCGCCACCAAAGUCACAGUAAUCGACAAAACGGUGCCGAAGAAUAACGCGGCAACCCAGGCCUCUCUGGUCGAAAUUAAGGUCGAAUCACCCGAAUUUGAAGGAAAGUCAAAAGUGGAAAGAAGCAGACUGGUUAUGAAUUCCAUCAAAGAUCUUGUUGAAGAGAUACAUGGAAUAUCCAUUUCCACAUCAACACCCAACCAACAACCGCGAUAGGGGCUCCUUUUUAUUUCAUCCCUUCAUAUAUUUGCUCAGAAUUUCAUAAUCACUUUGUUCGAAGAUUUGUCGAUGGACGUCUGCACUCGGCGAAGUUUCAUCUACUGCAUAUCUUAUCAACACGUUAAAAAAAAAUAAAAUUUACGUUUUCUCUUUUUUGCGUACUUUAAAUGCUUGUAGAAUUGGAUGGCCUGCGUGUUCUGUUUGAACACAGUCAACAUCACCCAACCCAUCGAGUACUUGAUGGCUAGCAAUUCGAUGAUCUUCAUCAUCCGCUUCCCUAAUCCCUUCCUCCGUAUCCCCUCCUCCAGCUGAAUUUCAUACAAAUAUAAUACUGGCUCCUCUUUCCCCUCCUCGUAAUCAAACCUGAAAUGGCAGAAUGCAACCGGCGCCUUGUUGCACACCUCAUAUGCUAUUCAUUGUCAAAAGCUGUACUUUUUAAAAAAAAAACAAAAAAAAACAAACCUAUCAAAUAAA